rnacentral:rRNA from 1 species
AAUGAACGCUGGCGGCAUGGAUUAGGCAUGCAAGUCGAACGGGUCCCCUCGGGGACUAGUGGCGCAAGGGUGAGUAACACGUGAGCAACCUGCCCCUGAAUCCGGAAUAAACCAGGGAAACUUGGCCUAAAACCGGAUGUUGGCCUUUGUCCGCAUGGACUUUGGCCGAAAUAUUCAUAGUUCGGGGAUGGGCUCGCGUCCCAUUAUGCUUGUUGGCGGGGUAACGGCCCACCAAGGCUACGACGGGUAGGUGGUCUGAGAGGAUGGUCACCCACACUGGGACUGAGACACUGCCCAGACUCCUACGGGAGGCUGCAGUCGAGAAUCUUCCGCAAUGGGCGCAAGCCUGACGGAGCAAUGCCGCGUGAGGGACGAAGCCUUCGGGUUGUAAACCUCUGUCAUCCGGGACGAAACCAAUGACGGUACCGGAAAAGGAAGCCACGGCUAACCACGUGCCAGCAGCCGCGGUAACACGUGGGUGGCGGGCGGUAUUCGGAUUUACUGGGCGUAAAGGGUCCGCAGGGGGCCUGCCACGCCCGCCGUGAAAUUUCAGGCUCAACCCUGAACCUGCGGCGGUAC